CCUACGGGAGGCAGCAGUGGGGAAUAUUGCACAAUGGGGGAAACUCUGAUGCAGCGACGCCGCGUGGGCGAAGAAGUAUUUCUGAUUGUAAAGCCCUAUCAUCUGGGACGAAUAAAUGACGGUACCUGAGUAAUAAGCACCGGCUAAAUACGUGCCAGCAGCCGCGGUAAUACGUAUGGUGUAAGCGUUAUCCGGAUUUACUGGGCGUAAAGGGAGCGCAGGCGGCACGGGAAGCAUGAUGUGAAAUCCCGCGGCCCAACCUCGGGGCUGCAUUGAGAACUAUCGGGCUUGAGUUCCGGAGAGGUAGGGGGAAUUCCUAGUGUAGCGGUGGAAUGCGUAGAUAUUAGGAGGAACACCAGUGGCGAAGGCGACCUACUGGACGGUGACUGACGCUGAGGCACGAAAGCGUGGGGAGCAAACAGGAUUAGAUACCCCAGUAGUC
rnacentral:rRNA from 1 species